GAGUUUGAUCGUGGCUCAGAGCGAACGCUGGCGGCAUGCUUAACACAUGCAAGUCGCACGGUCAGCAAUGGCAGUGGCGGACGGGUGAGUAACACGUAGGAAUCUAUCUCUGGGUGGGGGACAACAGUGGGAAACUACUGCUAAUACCGCAUGAUACCUGAGGGUCAAAGGCGUAAGUCGCCUGGAGAGGAGCCUGCGUCUGAUUAGCUUGUUGGUGGGGUAAAGGCCUACCAAGGCUACGAUCAGUAGCUGGUCUGAGAGGAUGAUCAGCCACAUUGGGACUGAGACACGGCCCAAACUCCUACGGGAGGCAGCAGUGGGGAAUAUUGGACAAUGGGCGAAAGCCUGAUCCAGCAAUGCCGCGUGUGUGAAGAAGGUCUUCGGAUUGUAAAGCACUUUUGGCAGGGACGAUGAUGACGGUACCUGCAGAAUAAGCCCCGGCUAACUUCGUGCCAGCCGCCGC
rnacentral:rRNA from 1 species